UGAGUUCGUCAUUGUGAAAACACCAAUGUCGAUUGGAAAUCGCCUAACUCAUUACCACCAAAGAAAAGAAAAGAAAGAAAAAAACAAAAAAAACAAAAAACAAAAAACAACCCACGCCAUGGAACAAAACAGAAAACCACAAUUGCCGGUGCUGAGGGUCUUCAAAUAGAGGACCAGUUGUCUGCCGAAAACCGGCACCACCGGCUCAUGGCAGACGCACCCAACCCACAUCACAUCACAUCACAUCAGCGCCACCUGAUAUCCAUUGGGCAUGGGGCCUCCACAGGGUACUAGGCGUGAGCAUUUCUAGCGACUCGUCCUGAGACUGUUUCUUCUAUAAUUAUUAAAGAAAUCCUGUACAUCUCACCAAUUAAAUUCUGAAAUAACUUAAUGGAUUAAUAUCAAGCAAGGAUCAGCUUCACGAUUUAAAGCCUUCAGCAAUUACAACAAAAAGCCCGUAUUUAAAUUGUUGUCUAAAAUUUCUACAACCAUGACUUUUUCCUAAAACCUAUGAAGUAUGAUGUGCUGACAGGGGAUGAGCAUAAACUAUGCUACACGUGAAAAAUGUGGAAAUGGCCUGCAGAAUGCAUAUGCCAUUUCGCUUACAGAUUUGAAACUUUGUUGCCAAAACGAUACCCACUGUCGGAGAAAUCAUUCAGUUUUUAUGUAGUGAGGUGAUGGUUGGGAUCCCACCUCCAUGGAAGACACAUAUAGUGCUGUGGAUUUUCAAAGAGCUUUUGAUCACAUUGAAACAAACUUUCCUUAUGGCAAUGAAGAUCCUUUGGAUAACGUGGAAUCACAAAUUCCUAGGUAAUUUCCUAGGCAUCUAUGCUUGCAACUGAGAAGGUGAAUACGGUCAUCAAGCUUCUGCCUCCAUGUAUACUGAUGCCUGCUGCUGUUUGGUCAGAGAAACAGAUGUUUAGUUGCAGUUUGUUUUUGGGGCUUUGGUUUGACCUCAUCUAGAUGGAAGCCAAAGAUUGGCCUGUGGAUUUUCAAGGAGCUCUUGAUCACAUCAAAACAGCUGCUCCUUACGCAGAUGAAGAUCUGCUAGAUCAUGUUGAAUUACAACUAGCUUUUAAUACUGUUAUGGAAACGAAUGCCUACAAAUCACUGGGGUUAACUUCAAACUUGAACUUAUAAUUUUUUUGGACGAUUAAGUCGAACAUAUCUCUAAGGUACGGUAACGUUGUAAGAUGGAAGGUCGGUCACUAUUUACUUCAGAAAAACGCUUGUAGCGCAUCACCGUUGGUCAACUAGUAGAGUUCUGCGAAUUUUCCAGAGUGAAGUAUCAUGUUGCUAAAUCAAAUCGGAUACAGUAGCACACGUUUAUAGCCCUUUGCGCGCAUAGCAUUGGCCAACCGGGCAUCAAAAGACAUUUAAAACCUUUCACGUCUCUGAUGUGGCAUCGAUGAACAUCACACAGGGAAUUCCUAGGAUUAAGGAAAUCAUUAACGCCUCAAAGGCACCUGUUAUCUCCACCCAACUAAUUGAUAACGAACCGGAAUAUGCCCGACGAGUAAAUGGAAGUAUUAAAAAAACUAUGCUUGGAGAAUUAAAUUUAGAAAAAUAUUUCCCGUAGUUUUUCACUGUUGUCCUUUUAAGGUGACGGUUUAUUUCGAGGAAGUAUAUUUGCCUGAUGCAUGUUUCGUUGUGAUUAAGUUAGACAUGAACCGAAUCCGCUUGCUGAAACUAAAAGUGGAUGAAAAUUCUAUCCAGUAGAGCCUCUGUACGUGUCAACUAAAAAUAAAACCAGCCUUCAUGAAAGUCAUCAGUGAAACAAGAGUGAUUGUUAAGCCCGUCCUAUCUGCAAAAUCGUCAAUGUGUCAUGUGAUAAAGUUCCUUAAGGAACAAUUGCCUAGGGUCGUUAUAAAGAUACGUUACAAUUUCUGUAACUAUAACUGCUUUUCAACUUGCAUCCUGCUUCAUGGUUAACCAACGGUUAGCCGAGCUGUCAUCAAUAUCCAUGAUACAAGGAAAGUGCCCAGGAUUGUCUUAAGGUUUAUGCAUUAACCUUUCAAAACCAGAGUCAUCUUUUUACAAAUGAAUUUAUUCCAAUUCCAUCUGGAAGACCUUGUCUUGUAGAAUGCAGCAAGGGCAGUGAUGAAAGGAAGCCACUACGAUACGCUUUCAUAGGUUCAGAGAAUUCCAUAUGACAAAAGCUUAAGGGCAACUUUCUCUACAACGAAACGGAGUUGAGGAAGGUUUACUCCUACAUACUCAAAAGGUUCCUUGUUUGGGGCAAUGACCGGAAUAAAGUAUAAUGAUUGGAUACACUACAUGGAAUUUCCCUACUUAUUCACGUUCUCAUUUAUAACGGUAUUAAAUUUUUCAAAAGUUGAAGUGUAUAUCUGGGCUCCCUUCCUUUCCGUAGCCCCGUUUCCCCUUGACUCGUAAUAAGCCCGUAGGGGGUCAUGCCCCUACUGUACGGUAUAUUUAAAAAUAACAUAUACCGAGGUUUGGAGGGCUCUGGCCGGAAAGGGGACGUGGGGGUCCGCGUAGUCCGAUGAUGUGUUCACGGAGGGCGACGUGGCUUCCCACAAAUCCGAAUUAAAGGUUAAUCGCUCCAGUAAAAAUGUUCCAUAUCUUCGGCUCUUCUUCCGGCUUCUCUUAGCCAAUCACCGGGUAAUCUCCCCGGUGGGUCAACAAGGCAGUGUCUCCCCCUGCCUGGGUUGACGGCAACUUUUGAAAGGGCUAUCGUGCCUUUUUAAAGUUGCAAAAAUGAUUCUUAU